AUGCUUCCCUGGCAGGGGAGAUAGACCAGGGUCCUGAAGGUGGUCUUCCAGGGUGAGGGUUAUCCAUUGCAUGCCAGAUGUGUUGACCCCUGCAAUUUCCCUGAACGUGGAAAACUCACUGCAUCGUUUGUGGUAAUGGGGGACUGUGUCUGUGCUCUCUCUUG
ensembl:snRNA U1 U1 spliceosomal RNA